AAAAAAAAAAAAUUGAAGAAGUACUUCGUAAUUAGCAAAAUUUAAACUAUAACAGCUUAACCCCUAAAAAUAAGAACCUAAUUGCAACCCAAAUUUUUCUUUAGAGAUUUCCAGGAAAAACCAUGAACUAGUUAUCAUUUAAAGUUUUGUUUACUUGAGAAAAACAGUGCUUCAUUUUUUUUCCCUACAUUUUUCAUUUGUAUUAUUCAAAUCAUUUCUCCUUCAAAAAAAUGUUUACCUGAUGAAAAUAGAUGACUGUUUCUGUGUCUGGGAGUUUGAAAACUAGUAAAUACGUGCAGCAUAUA
rnacentral:misc_RNA from 1 species